AAAAGAGGAAGGACCUGAGUACAUAACUGGUGGUACCAUGGCUCGCUUAGCAUCUUAUGUUGGAAGCUUCUAGAUGCCCUAGAUAAGUGUGGCAGGUCAGUGCAAAUUUCCCCAGUGGGGUAACUUUUGGUUAGUUCUGCAGCACUUCACCAGCAUGAUAUUAAACCCAUACAAGGUUGACAGGCUAUGUCCUUUGUCUCUUAACUACCCAGUUUCACCUCUGCUUCCACAAGUCCAAUUCUCUCUGAUUA
rnacentral:lncRNA from 1 species